AUGCGUAUGUUGAGAUGGAUGUGUGGCUACACAAGGAAGGAUCGAGUCCGGAAUGAUGAUAUACGAGAUAGAGUUGGGGUAGCACCAAUUGAAGAGAAGCUUGUCCAACAUCGUCUGAGAUGGUUUGGGCAUAUUCAACGCAGGCCUCCAGAAGCUCCAGUGCAUAGCGGAUGGUUAAAGCGUGCGGAGAAUGUCAAGAGAGGGCGGGGUAGACCGAAUUUGACAUGGGAGGAGUCCGUUAAGAGAGACCUGAAGGAUUGGAGUAUUACCAAAGAGCUAGCUAUGGACAGGGGUGCGUGGAAGCUUGCUAUCCAUGUGCCAGAGCCAUGA
rnacentral:rRNA from 1 species